rnacentral:rRNA from 1 species
UACGUAGGGUGCAAGCGUUAAUCGGAAUUACUGGGCGUAAAGCGUGCGCAGGCGGUUCAGCAAGACUGGGGUGAAAUCCCCGGGCUUAACCUGGGAACUGCAUUUGUGACUGCACGGCUAGAGUGUGUCAGAGGGGGGUGGAAUUCCACGUGUAGCAGUGAAAUGCGUAGAUAUCGGGAGGAACACCAGUGGCGAAGGCGACUAUCUGGGCUGCAACUGACGCUGAGGCGCGAAGGCUAGGGUAGCAAACAGG